UGCGAUACGUAAUGCGAAUNGCAGGAUUCAGUGAGUCAUCGAAAUUUUGAACGCAUAUNGCACUUCCGGGUUAGUCCUGGAAGUAUGCCUGUAUCAGUGUCCGUA
rnacentral:rRNA from 1 species